rnacentral:rRNA from 1 species
AGCAGCCGCGGUAAUUCCAGCUCCAAUAGCGUAUAUUAAAGUUGUUGCAGUUAAAAAGCUCGUAGUUGAAUUUCGGGAUCAAUGGGUCGGUCGUGCCAAUGGUAUGUACUGGCCUCAUUGGUUCUCACCUUCUAAGGAACCAUGAUGUCAUUUAUUUGAUGUUGUGGGAAAUUAGGACUGUUACCUUGAAAAAAUUAGAGUGUUUAAAGCAGGCUAACGCUUGAAUACAUUAGCAUGGAAUAAUGAAAUAGGACAUCCGAUUCUAUUUUGUUGGUUUCUAGGAUCGAUGUAAUGAUUAAUAGGGAUAGUUGGGGGCAUUAGUAUUCAAUUGUCAGAGGUGAAAUUCUUGGAUUUAUUGAAGACUAACUACUGCGAAAGCAUUUGCCAAGGAUGUUUUCAUUAAUCAAGAACGAAAGUUAGGGGAUCGAAGACGAUCAGAUACCGUCGUAG